ACGAUUGACGGAGCGAAGCGACGUCAAAGCGUUCAUUAAAGUCGAGUUGGCUUAGGGAUACGUUCGUUGGGUAGGGGAGCGUUCUGUAAGCCGUUGAAGGUGGCCUGUGAGGGUUGCUGGAGGUAUCAGAAGUGCGAAUGCUGACAUAAGUAACGAUAAAGCGGGUGAAAAGCCCGCUCGCCGGAAGACCAAGGGUUCCUGUCCAACGUUAAUCGGGGCAGGGUGAGUCGACCCCUAAGGCGAGGCCGAAAGGCGUAGUCGAUGGGAAACGGGUUAAUAUUCCCGUACUUGGUGUUACUGCGAAGGGGGGACGGAGAAGGCUAUGUUGGCCGGGCGACGGUUGUCCCGGUUUAAGCGUGUAGGUGUGUGUUCCAGGUAAAUCCGGUUCACUUUAACACUGAGGCGUGACGACGAGGCACUACGGUGCUGAAGCAACAAAUGCCCUGCUUCCAGGAAAAGCCUCUAAGCAUCAGGUAACAUCAAAUCGUACCCCAAACCGACACAGGUGGUCAGGUAGAGAAUACCAAGGCGCUUGAGAGAACUCGGGUGAAGGAACUAGGCAAAAUGGUGCCGUAACUUCGGGAGAAGGCACGCUGACACGUAGGUGAAGUGAUUUACUCAUGGAGCUGAAGUCAGUCGAAGAUACCAGCUGGCUGCAACUGUUUAUUAAAAACACAGCACUGUGCAAACACGAAAGUGGACGUAUACGGUGUGACGCCUGCCCGGUGCCGGAAGGUUAAUUGAUGGGGUCAGCGCAAGCGAAGCUCCUGAUCGAAGCCCCGGUAAACGGCGGCCGUAACUAUAACGGUCCUAAGGUAGCGAAAUUCCUUGUCGGGUAAGUUCCGACCUGCACGAAUGGCGUAAUGAUGGCCAGGCUGUCUCCACCCGAGACUCAGUGAAAUUGAACUCGCUGUGAAGAUGCAGUGUACCCGCGGCAAGACGGAAAGACCCCGUGAACCUUUACUAUAGCUUGACACUGAACAUUGAGCCUUGAUGUGUAG
rnacentral:rRNA from 2 species